AGAGUUUGAUCUUGGCUCAGGAUGAACGCUGGCGGUAUGCGUAACACAUGCAAGUCGAACGAAGUUUUUCGGAACUUAGUGGCGGACGGGUGAGUAACGCGUGAGAAUCUGCCUUAAGGAUUGGGACAACAGUGGGAAACCGCUGCUAAUACCAAAUAUGCCUUUUAGUGAAACGGGUAAAACCGCCUUAAGAUGAGCUCGCGUCUGAUUAGCUAGUUGGUGUGGUAAGAGCGCACCAAGGCAACGAUCAGUAGCUGGUCUGAGAGGACGACCAGCCACACUGGGACUGAGACACGGCCCAGACUCCUACGGGAGGCAGCAGUGAGGAAUUUUCCGCAAUGGGCGAAAGCCUGACGGAGCAAUACCGCGUGAGGGAGGAAGGUUCUUGGAUUGUAAACCUCUUUUCUCAGAGAAGAAUAAUGACGGUAUCUGAGGAAUAAGCAUCGGCUAACUCCGUGCCAGCAGCCGCGGUAAUACGGAGGAUGCAAGCGUUAUCCGGAAUGAUUGGGCGUAAAGGGUCUGUAGGUGGUUGUUCAAGUCUGCUGUUAAAGCGUCUGGCUUAACCAGAUAAAGGCGGUGGAAACUGAACGACUAGAGUGCGGUAGGGGUAGAGGGAAUUCCCAGUGUAGCGGUGAAAUGCGUAGAUAUUGGGAAGAACACCUGUGGCGAAAGCGCUCUACUGGACCGCGACUGACACUGAUGGACGAAAGCUAGGGGAGCGAAUGGGAUUAGAUACCCCCGUAGUCC
rnacentral:rRNA from 1 species